GAACAUAUACAUUGGUUUACAGGCAACAAGAUAUAAUUAUUACAGAUGUUUGGCAUCUUUAUUUAUCAAUCAUGCCUUUUUUAGAUUGACUUUCCCUUCCCAGAUAUUCAAACUGAAAAAAGUGUUUAUCUACUGCUUCAGUUGAAAUGGUUAAAAAUAUAUUACAUAUAUUCUAGCAUGUCAAUGUUGUUUACAGAUGUAUGAACGGUUAUUAUUUCUUUCAUAGGUACAGAGAGUUAACAACAGUCAAGAGAAAAAAGCUGACGAUUCCAGAAAGAAUAGCUGACUCAUCUGCAUCUGAUUCCAAUCAUGGUGAAGUAGUUAUGUCUGGUGUAGAACUGCUACCUACCACAUCUGAUUCAGAAAUAAGUUUGCAAGGGCUUUCUUAAAGAAGAGCAAAAGGACCUGUGUCCACAUCAACACCAAUUUCUGCACAUCCUCGUAUAAGUGACAGUGAGUUGUCAGCGGUAUCUUCGGUGGAAGCUGAGAGAAAAAG